rnacentral:rRNA from 1 species
UACGUAGGGUGCAAGCGUUAAUCGGAAUUACUGGGCGUAAAGCGUGCGCAGGCGGUUAUGCAAGACAGAGGUGAAAUCCCCGGGCUCAACCUGGGAACUGCCUUUGUGACUGCAUAGCUAGAGUACGGUAGAGGGGGAUGGAAUUCCGCGUGUAGCAGUGAAAUGCGUAGAUAUGCGGAGGAACACCGAUGGCGAAGGCAGCUCACUACACGAGCAUUGACUCUGAGGCACGAAAGCGUGGGGAUCAAACAGG